AUUGAACGCUGGCGGCAUGCCUUACACAUGCAAGUCGAACGGUAACAGGUCUUCGGAUGCUGACGAGUGGCGAACGGGUGAGUAAUGCAUCGGAACGUGCCCAGUAGUGGGAGAUAGCCCGGCGAAAGCCGGAUUAAUACCGCAUACGACCUGAGGGUGAAAGGGGGGGAUCGCAAGACCUCUCGCUAUUGGAGCGGCCGACGUCAGAUUAGCUAGUUGGUGGGGUAAAGGCCUACCAAGGCAACGAUCUGUAGUUGGUCUGAGAGGACGACCAGCCACACUGGGACUGAGACACGGCCCAGACUCCUACGGGAGGCAGCAGUGGGGAAUUUUGGACAAUGGGCGCAAGCCUGAUCCAGCAAUGCCGCGUGCAGGAAGAAGGCCUUCGGGUUGUAAACUGCUUUUGUCAGGGAAGAAAUCUUCUGGGUUAAUACCUCGGGAGGAUGACGGUACCUGAAGAAUAAGCACCGGCUAACUACGUGCCAGCCGCCGCGGUAA
rnacentral:rRNA from 1 species